rnacentral:rRNA from 1 species
UGGGGAAUAUUGGACAAUGGGCGCAAGCCUGAUCCAGCCAUGCCGCGUGAGUGAUGAAGGCCCUAGGGUUGUAAAGCUCUUUCACCGGUGAAGAUAAUGACGGUAACCGGAGAAGAAGCUCCGGCUAACUUCGUGCCAGCAGCCGCGGUAAUACGAAGGGGGCUAGCGUUGUUCGGAUUUACUGGGCGUAAAGCGCACGUAGGCGGACUUUUAAGUCAGGGGUGAAAUCCCGGGGCUCAACCCCGGAACUGCCUUUGAUACUGGAAGUCUUGAGUAUGGUAGAGGUGGGUGGAAUUCCGAGUGUAGAGGUGAAAUUCGUAGAUAUUCGGAGGAACACCAGUGGCGAAGGCGGCUCACUGGACCAUUACUGACGCUGGGGUGCGAAAGCGUGGGGAGCAAACAGG